UACGUAGGGUGCAGGCGUUAAUCGGAAUUACUGGGCGUAAAGCGUGCGUAGGUGGUGAGUUAAGUCUGUCGUGAAAGCCCCGGGCUCAACCUGGGAAUGGCGAUGGAUACUGGCUCGCUAGAGUGCGGUAGAGGAGAGUGGAAUUCCCGGUGUAGCAGUGAAAUGCGUAGAAAUCGGGAGGAACAUCAGUUGCGAAGGCGGCUCUCUGGACCAGCACUGACACUGAGGCACGAAAGCGUGGGGAGCAAACAGG
rnacentral:rRNA from 1 species